UUACCCAAUAGGUUUCUAGAUUCUUCUACCCAAGGAAGUUACAAAUUAAACACUUAAUUAUUCUCAACACAUGUCUUACACCUAAUUUUGUAAAGCUUUAGAACGAAAAGAAAAUUAUCUCUUCUAAUUUAGUGCGUGAGAAACACAAUAAAUUAAGCGCAUAGGCGGAUAUAAGAAGGUAAUAAAUCAUUCACUUGUCUUCUACUCAAAAGGCACCGAAUGAUUCGCCAUCUUCUUGUGGCAACCAACACAUCUUAAAUGCUGCCAACGGGCACCAGCGUUAUCCUCUUGCGUGGUAUGAGGGUUAGAUUCCAAAAUAAC
rnacentral:lncRNA from 1 species